AGUGGUUAAGUGUUUGGCUGCUAACCAAAAGGCUGGUGGUUCAAAUCUACUAGCCACUC
rfam:Loxodonta africana unplaced genomic scaffold scaffold_54, whole genome shotgun sequence.